rnacentral:tRNA from 1 species
CGCGGGGUGGAGCAGUGGAAGCUCGGCGGGCUCAUAACCCGCAGGCCGCAGGUUCGAAUCCUGCCCCCGCUACCA